rnacentral:rRNA from 1 species
AGUGACGAUAGCCUAGGAGAUACACCGGGUCCCAUGCCGAACACAGAAGUUAAGCCCUAGCACGCCUGAUGUAGUUGGGGGUUGCCCCCUGUUAGAUACGGUAGUCGCU